ACACUAUGUUGUGUAAUAUAAUAUCAUGUUUGUAAAAACAAGUAGGGACACCAAAGGAUGUUUGGAAAUUAUCUGCAGAGCAUAUGGCAUUUAUUUUGGCCUGAAAACGCGGAACCGAUAGCUCUUAGCUGGACUGAUCUUGUCUUAGGUGGUUGCUAUGGUAGCAGUCACUUUGGUAACGUGUACACAAUCAAGAUGGAUGCUUUCUUGCACUGGAGUUGCAAGGACGUGGCAAAAUGGAUAGAAUCCUUAGGAUAUCCACAGUAUACGGAGUGUUUUACUGAAAACUUUAUUACUGGUAAAAAGCUGAUUUACAUUAACUGCCGUUACCUUCCAAGACUUGGAAUCACAGAUUUUGAAGACAUGAAGGCGAUCUCUGGCCAUGUGCUUGAGCUGCUGGGGAUCACAGACCCAGUCUGGAGCAGGAGCAUAGCACUCCCACCGCGGGACCCAAGGGGCCUGUAUUUAGAAAAGAAGAGUCGCACAGGCCGGUGGGCCGAUUCUUUAACCUACACCCAGUUUUUAAAGGAUGGGAAUAACUGUCACGCACCUGCUUUAUUUCCAGAUAUAAAACGUGUGACCAAAGCAAGGGUAUAGUCACACAGCGUUAGUUGUUUCAGAUCUUUGUGCUUUUUGUGCCCCUCUCCUCCAAAAGAGAGAAAACAAAAGAUUUUUCUUUCCUAUUUAUGUUGUUUGGCAUUCUUCUGAAUGGUUCAUUUUUAGUAGUUUUGUAAUUACCAUUAGUAUUUUUGAAAUUAGUUUAUUUUAUAUCAUGUCUCCAAAUAUGCUGCCAACACUCAAUGAACCACGUCAUGCUAAUAAAUCCAUUGAAUCCUG